rnacentral:rRNA from 1 species
UGCGUAGGCGGUUUGGUAAGUCUCUUGUGAAAUCUAUGGGCUCAACUCAUAGUCUGCAAGGGAAACUGCCGGGCUUGAGUGUGGGAGAGGUGAGUGGAAUUUCCGGUGUAGCGGUGAAAUGCGUAGAUAUCGGAAGGAACACCUGUGGCGAAAGCGGCUCACUGGACCACAACUGAUGCUGAUGCACGAAAGCUAGGGGAGCAAACA